CCUACGGGUGGCAGCAGUGAGGAAUAUUGGUCAAUGGACGAGAGUCUGAACCAGCCAAGUAGCGUGAAGGAUGACUGCCCUAUGGGUUGUAAACUUCUUUUAUAAAGGACUAAAACGAGGCACGUGUGCCUUUUUGCAUGUACUUUAUGAAUAAGGAUCGGCUAACUCCGUGCCAGCAGCCCCGGUAAUACGGAGGAUCCGAGCGUUAUCCGGAUUUCUUGGGUUUAAAGGGAGCGUAGAUGGGUUGUUAAGUCAGUUGUGAAUGUUUGCGGUUAAACCGGAAAAUUGCAAUUGAUACUGGCAGGCUUGAGUACAGUUGAGGUAGGCGGAAUGCGUGGUGUAGCGGUGAAAUGCUUAGAUAUCACGAAGAACACCGAUUGCGAAGGCAGCUUACUAAACUGUGACUGACGUUGAUGCUCGAAAGUGUGGGUAUCAAACAGGAUUAGAUACCCCAGUAGUC
rnacentral:rRNA from 1 species